GAUGAACGCUGGCGGCGUGCCUAAUACAUGCAAGUCGAGCGAACAGAUGAGGAGCUUGCUCCUCUGACGUUAGCGGCGGACGGGUGAGUAACACGUGGAUCACCUACCUAUAAGACUGGGAUAACUUCGGGAAACCGGAGCUACUACCGGAUAAUAUAUUGAACCGCAUGGUUCAAUAGUGAAAGACGGUUUUGCUGUCACUUAUAGAUGGAUCCGCGCCGCAUUAGCUAGUUGGUAAGGUAACGGCUUACCAAGGCAACGAUGCGUAGCCGACCUGAGGGGGUGAUCGGCCACACUGGAACUGAGACACGGUCCAGACUCCUACGGGAGGCAGCAGUAGGGAAUCUUCCGCAAUGGGCGAAAGCCUGACGGAGCAACGCCGCGUGAGUGAUGAAGGUCUUCGGAUCGUAAAACUCUGUUAUUAGGGAAGAACAAAUGUGUAAGUAACUAUGCACGUCUUGACGGUACCUAAUCAGAAAGCCACGGCUAACUACGUG
rnacentral:rRNA from 1 species